GACGAACGCUGGCGGCGCGCCUAACACAUGCAAGUCGAACGAGCAAAGAGGAGCUUGCUUCUCUGAGCGAGUGGCGAACGGGUGAGUAACGCGUGAGGAACCUGCCUCAAAGAGGGGGACAACAGUUGGAAACGACUGCUAAUACCGCAUAAGCCCACGGGUCGGCAUCGACCAGAGGGAAAAGGAGCGAUCCGCUUUGAGAUGGCCUCGCGCCCGAUUAGCUAGUUGGUGAGGUAACGGCCCACCAAGGCGACGAUCGGUAGCCGGACUGAGAGGUUGAACGGCCACAUUGGGACUGAGACACGGCCCAGACUCCUACGGGAGGCAGCAGUGGGGAAUAUUGCACAAUGGGGGAAACCCUGAUGCAGCGACGCCGCGUGGAGGAAGAAGGUUUUCGGAUUGUAAACUCCUGUCGUUAGGGACGAUAAUGACGGUACCUAACAAGAAAGCACCGGCUAACUACGUG
rnacentral:rRNA from 1 species